UGGGGAAUUUUGGACAAUGGGCGCAAGCCUGAUCCAGCCAUGCCGCGUGCGGGAAGAAGGCCUUCGGGUUGUAAACCGCUUUGUCAGGGAAGAAAUCUUCUGAGUUAAUACCUCGGGAGGAUGACGGUACCUGAAGAAUAAGCACCGGCUAACUACGCGCCAGCAGCCGCGGUAAUACGUAGGGUGCAAGCGUUAAUCGGAAUUACUGGGCGUAAAGCGUGCGCAAGGCGGUUUUGUAAGACAGAGGUGAAAAUCCCCGGGCUCAACCUGGGAACUGCCUUUGUGACUGCAAGGCUUGAGUGCGGCAGAGGGGGGAUGGAAUUCCGCGUGUAGCAGUGAAAUGCGUAGAUAUGCGGAGGAACACCGAUGGCGAAGGCAAUCCCCUGGGCCUGCACUGACGCUCAUGCACG
rnacentral:rRNA from 1 species